rnacentral:tRNA from 1 species
GGUGUGAUAGCUUAUUUGGUUAGAGCGUCGGAUUCAUAACCCGAAGAAUUGAGGUUCAAUCCCUCUUCACACUACCA